ACUACGGGUGGCUGCAGUGAGGAAUAUUGGUCAAUGGGCGGAAGCCUGAACCAGCCAAGUAGCGUGCAGGAUGACGGCCCUACGGGUUGUAAACUGCUUUUAUACGGGAAUAACGCGCCUUACGUGUAGGGCUUUGCAUGUACCGUAUGAAUAAGGACCGGCUAAUUCCGUGCCAGCAGCCGCGGUAAUACGGAAGGUCCGGGCGUUAUCCGGAUUUAUUGGGUUGAAAGGGAGCGUAGGCCGCAUGUCAAGCGUGCUGUGAAAUGUCCGGGCUCAACCCGGGCCUUGCAGCGCGAACUGGCGUGCUUGAGUCCGCGGAAAGCAGGCGGAAUUCGUCGUGUAGCGGUGAAAUGCUUAGAUAUGACGAAGAACCCCGAUUGCGAAGGCAGCUUGCUGCAGCGGAACUGACGCUGAUGCUCGAAAGCGCGGGUAUCGAACAGGAUUAGAUACCCCUGUAGUC
rnacentral:rRNA from 1 species